rnacentral:sRNA from 1 species
AAGGAAAAAAAGAUAGGUUUGAUAAGCCAAUGAGGAACGGAGAUGAUAAUAGGUUUUUUAAGAUCAAUUAAACCUAAAGCACUAAUUCAUAUCCAAGGAGACGGGAUCAUAAUGCCAUUAUUCAUCAAACUUUUACUUUCAAGAAUAGUACCCAUGAUGUAGCUAAAUAUAUCAAGUAUGAAAUCAAUAAUAAAAUGAAUCGGAGAUGAAAACUUGAAGAAACUACGGUAAUCACUGCUCCUUGGAGACGGGAUCAUCAUGCCGAUCUUCUUCAAGGAAUUAGCAACAUGAAUAGUACACCUAUAGAUUCUAAUGGCAAGGUUCUCAAAGGAUUUUUGUACCAACAUAGCAGCAAUGUUCGAUUAUGAUUCAAUUGAUGUCCAUUAGCAAUUGGUAUCAUGAAUCGACGCAAAUAAAAGCUAAGAGAAGACAAAAAGGAGUUUGGGUCAAACCUAUGAUUUUGCGGAGACCGUUUGGAGGGGCUGGGCCAAUCCAUUAGUGGAGAUGGGCAAUUGUUUUGGGGGAUGGGCCUAAAUUUGGUUAAUGGGCUCGAAGAACAGUGGCCCAUUAAGAGGAACCCUAACAAGGCAACAGUGUGGCAGAGGAUGGUGAUGGUGCGGCGGAUCUGAGGCGGCAGAUAAGAACUCCGAUAAACGCUAAAUGAUGCUGGUGGGAAUAAGGUCAACGUAGAUGAGAUACUGAUAAGUGUGUAUUUUGCAUGUUUUGAGCAUCCAUUUGUCAUCAUUUUAGCAUCAUAUCAUCACUGUUUUAUAUCAUUUCUCAUCAUUUAUCAUCACUUUACAUGUUUAGGAUAGGUUUGCAUGCAUGUUGCAUAUUUGUGUUGAUUUCAGGUGAUUUGGAGCUGUUGACGAGCUAACUGGAAGAAGCGGACCUGAUCAUGACAAACCACUCGACCCAGAGGUCGAGUAGGAGCUUCAAGAUCUCAACAGACCACUCGACCCCCAGGUCGAGUAGAAGACAUCACCACUUCACCUCACCACUCGGCCACAAGGUCGAGUGUCCUCAUCUCCAUCACCUGACCAUCACUCGACCACAUCACUCGACCCUGAGGUCGAGUGUCUUUACCACCAUUACCUAAUCAUCACUCGACCCCAUCACUCUACCUGGAAGUCGAGUAUCACCAUCACCACCACUCGACUACACACUCGAUGGCAAGCUUCAGAGUCUUCUUCAUUCCGCACUCAACCAGACACUCGAGCACAAGGAAGAAAAGAAGACUCCAGCUAUUCACUCGAUCCCCACUCGACCACAUGAGUCGAGUACAAUUCUUAAUCCGUCCCAAUACUGCAUCGUUUUAAGUAUUAGGGUUUCGGAAUAUUUGGCUAUAAGUAGCAUGUACUUCACAUUUUCGCAAACAAGUUUUUUAUUUAGUUUUAUUCCGCAGACCUUGUGUUCUAGACCUUUUGUAAUCCGGAUUUCUCUUUAUCUAUUCAAUAUUCAGUAUUCAGUAUUCAGUAUUCAGCUUUUGGUCUUGCUUUCGUUUACUGUUGUUCAUUCUGUUAUCACCCUUCUAUUACACUGUUGUUAUCAUGUUUUUAGCUUGUUCAACGUUUAUGCUUUCUGUUCUGAUGUCUGAGUAGUGAAUAGGUUUCUGAGGAUGGGUUAGAAUAGUGUAGAAUUCUCAGUAUGCUAGGUGAUUGAGUAUUGAUUGAUAGAUCCCUUAUGGAUUAGUUGUUCUUAAUGCCUAUUGCUUUCUGAUCAACUGGAAUUUGAGCCCAGACAUUUCCGCGCCCAAAAGGUGUUCGAUGAAAUGUCUGAACCACUAAUUCUAGAGACUUGUGGCCCUGUACCAAGGUAUUGGUUGCAGGGAGCGUUUUGGCUUUAACUUGUUGAUUCGUAAUGCCUGUUAGGUUAGCUCUCGUCAAUGGUGAUUGAGUCUGGGACUAGGUUAACUUGAGAGUCUCUAUUGCGGUGGCACUUAGAUUUGGUUAAUGAACUUGUUGUCUAGGGUUAAUUUAUUGAGCAUGUCAAUCACCUGUAAACUGAGGAAACGAAACUACUCAAUUACCCCAUCCUCGGGAAUUCUUUAUCUGAUUGAAUUUUUUGUUUACUCUACUGUUGUUUACUGCAUCUUGUUAUCUGUCGCUUAAUUUCUGCGGUUCUUUCUUGUUACUCAACCUCAUACUCGACCACCAAGUUGUCUGGCAACAGACUGUGCAGUCAAGUAUCUGUGUUUUAUUUUCUGUGUGUUACUCCUCACCUAGUGCUCUGCAAAGAGCUGUGUUGGUCGAGUGUUUUACUGUUUCUGCUUGAAUUUCUAUUUUCUGCAUGUUCACUUAGAAUUGCUAGAACACACCACAACCUGUUAUUGCUUGGCUUGACUUAGGGACUUUUGAUCACAUCUUAAUUGUUAGCAUCACACCCAUUUGGAUUGACAACCUUCAGUACUACAACGACAUGAUAGUGCUUUAGGUUUAAUUGACUGAAAAAUCUAUUAUCAAUUUGGCGCCGUUGCCAAUUGGGUGUCUGUUUUUUACAUUUGACAUUUCAGACUUGCUUAGAUCAAGUUCUUUUUCAAAUUUUCUUUUCGGUUACUAACUUUGUGUCUUUCUUGUUGUCUUCUUGAUCCAGGUACACCUCUACUGUAUGCGAACUCGAUCAACAGGCAAUCAGAACCUCCUUUUCAACGACAACAUUGACCGCAUAGCUCGCGAGCUUAGAGAAAGGUGAAACACAGUCAACCCUGUACCUCAGCAACCACUCGAAAUGGCUGACGAACAGAAUCAACAAAAUGGCCCUGCCAACAUUGGUGCUGGAGAUGCACCACGUGAUCAUCGUCAGAGGAAAGGAAUUGCACCUCCUGCUAUCCAGAACAACAACUUCGAGAUUAAGAGUGGUCUCAUCUCCAUGAUUCAGGGGAACAAAUUCCAUGGUCUGCCAAUGGAGGAUCCACUCGACCACCUUGAUGAAUUCGAUUGGCUCUACAACCUGACAAAGAUCAAUGGUGUCAGUGAAGACGGAUUCAAGCUCCGUCUGUUCCCAUUCUCCUUGGGCGACAAAGCACACAUCUGGGAGAAGAAUCUGCCCCAUGAUUCAAUCACCACCUGGGAUGAUUGCAAGAAGGCUUUUCUAUCAAAGUUCUUCUCCAAUGCCAGAACUGCAAGACUCAGAAAUGAGAUCUCUGGUUUCUCACAGAAGACUGCUGAAAGCUUCUGUGAAGCAUGGGAGCGUUUCAAGGAUUACACCAACCAAUGCCCUCAUCAUGGCUUUACUAAAGCCUCUCUGCUCAGCACUCUUUAUAGAGGAGUCCUACCACGCAUCAGAAUGCUUCUGGAUACCGCCAGCAAUGAAAAUUUCCAGAACAAGGAUGUUGAAGAAGGCUAGGAUUUGGUAGAGAACCUUGCUCAAUCAGAUGGCAAUUACAACGAGGACUGUGAUAGGACCGUCAGAGGCACAGCUGACUCUGAUGACAAACACAGGAAGGAGAUCAAAGCGCGGAUCACUCGACCAGUCACUCGAGCAACCACUCAACCAGUCACUCGAGCAACCACUCGACCAGUCACUCGACCAGUCACUCGAGCAACCACUCGAUCUGCCACUUGACAACGUUACUCGACCAACAACUCGACCUAUCUUCCCAGCAGCAUCACCAACUGCUCCAAAACCAGUUGCUGUUAAAAACAAAGAAAAGGUCUUUGUCCCUCCUCCCUACAAACCACAGCUUCCAUUUCCUGGCCGUCACAAGAAAGCGUUGGCAGAUAAAUAUAGAGCUAUGUUUGCCAAGAAUAUUAAGGAGGUUGAGUUGCGGAUACCUCUUGUUGACGCUCUAGCGCUAAUCCCAGACUCUCACAAGUUUCUGAAAGACUUGAUCGUGGAGAGAAUUCAAGAAGUGCAAGGUAUGGUGGUAUUGAGUCAUGAAUGCAGUGCUAUCAUACAAAAGAAGAUCAUUCCUAAGAAGCUUAGUGAUCCUGGUUCAUUCACUCUACCAUGCUCUUUAGAUCCAUUGGCUUUCAAUAGAUGCCUAUGCGAUUUAGGAGCAUCAGUCAGUCUCAUGCCGCUCUCUGUUGCCAAAAGAUUGGGGUUCACUCAAUACAAAUCCUGCAAUAUAUCCCUCAUCCUAGCUGACAGAUCAGUAAGGAUCCCUCAUGGUUUGCUCGAAAACCUUCCAAUCAGGAUCAGAGCUGUGGAGAUACCAACUGACUUUGUAGUCCUGGAGAUGGAUGAAGAGCGCAAGGACCCGUUGAUUCUAGGGAGACCUUUCUUAGCAACUGCAGGAGCUAUGAUUGAUGUCAAGAAAGGGAAGAUUUAUCUAAACCUUGGCAAAGACUUUCGGAUGACCUUUGAUGUCAAAGACGCGAUGAAGAAGCCUACCAUAGAAGGGCAACUCUUUUGGAUCGAAGAAAUGGAUCAGUUAGCUGAUGAGUUACUGGAAGAGCUGGCAGAAGAAGAUCAUCUUAAUAGUGCUUUAACUAAAAGUGGUGAAGAUGGGUUUCUGCAUUUGGAAACAUUAGGAUACCAGAAGCUGUUAGACUCCCAUAAAGCAAUGGAAGAAUCAGAACCCUUUGAGGAAUUGAAUGGACCAGCAACAGAGGUAAUGGUAAUGAGCGAAGAAGGGUCAACACGAGUUCAACCUGCACACUCGAGGACAUACUCGACCAGCCACUCGACCUUGUCUGCCAAUGAAUUUAGGGAGCCGAUCAUCCCAACUUCAGAUGACUGGUCUGAACUCAAGGGGCCUAAGUUGAUCUAGAACCACUUCCUAAAGGUCUAAGGUACGCAUUCCUUGGUUCAAAAUCUACUUACCCUGUGAUCAUUAAUGCUGAGUUAAAUGAUGAUGAAGUGAACCUACUAUUAUCUGAGCUUAGAAAGUAUAGGAGAGCAAUUGGUUAUUCAUUAUCCGACAUUAAAGGAAUUUCACCUAGUUUAUGCAACCAUAGGAUCCACCUUGAAAACGAAUCCUAUUCUAGCAUUGAACCAUAGAGGAGGUCAAAUCCCAAUUUGAAAGAAGUAGUGAAAAAAGAAAUUUUGAAACUGCUUGAGGCUGGUGUCAUCUAUCCUAUCUCUGAUAGUCCUUGGGUUUCUCCAGUGCAUUGCGUCCCUAAAAAGGGUGGAAUGACUGUUGUCAAAAAUGAAAAAGAUGAAC